CUCCGCCGCGGUGGAACGCGGGACCUAAAGUGGUCAGGAUGAUUAUUGGGCCUAAAGCAUCCGUAGCCCGUUUUGUAAGUUUUCGGUUAAAUCCAUGCGCUUAACGUAUGGGCUGCCGGGAAUACUGCAUAACUAGGAAGUGGGAGAGGUAGACGGUACUCGGUAGGAAGGGGUAAAAUCCUUUGAUCUAUUGAUGACCACCUGUGGCGGAGGCGGUCUACCAGAACACGUUCGACGGUGAGGGAUGAAAGCUGGGGGAGCAAACCGGAUUAGAUACCCGGGUAGUCCCAGCUGUAAACUAUGCAAACUCAGUGAUGCAUUGGCUUAUGGCCAAUGCAGUGCUGCAGGGAAGCCGUUAAGUUUGCCGCCUGGGAAGUACGUACGCAAGUAUGAAACUUAAAGGAAUUGGCGGGGGAGCA
rnacentral:rRNA from 1 species